rnacentral:lncRNA from 10 species
ACUAGAGUUUUGCUCCUGGGACGGGACGUCCGAGAGGCAACAAAAGCAAAUAUCGAAAAGGAGUAGAACAGUUGGAAUUUAUAAUCUUCCUUCUGAACUAACAGACCAAGAAAUUCUCGAGUUCUCUUCAGAGACCAACUGGGGAUCAACAAUUCAAUUUAAUUCUGACACCCAAGGUGAGUGCAGACCCUACAGGUUAAGGGUUCAGUCCCACAAGACUGCUCCCCACUUCUGAUGCCAAUCACAAGUAGUGAGUCCCCAGGUUACCUAUACUUCUGACCUGGCUACGUGGACCCCUCCUCAAGUCUGAUAAUUUGCUAUAACCACUCACAGAACUCAGAGGAACACUUCGUAUUACUGGUUUAUUAUAAAGGAUAUUCUAAAGGAUACAAAUGAACAGUAUGACAGUCAGAUGAAUAGGUUCAUAGGACAAAGUCCAGCCAAUGGUCCUAGGUACAGGAACUUCUGU